rnacentral:rRNA from 1 species
GACGAACGCUGGCGGCUUGCCUAAUACAUGCAAGUUGAGCGAUGAAGAUUGGUGCUUGCACCAAUUUGAAGAGCAGCGAACGGGUGAGUAACGCGUGGGGAAUCUGCCUUUGAGCGGGGGACAACAUUUGGAAACGAAUGCUAAUACCGCAUAACAACUUUAAACAUAAGUUUUAAGUUUGAAAGAUGCAAUUGCAUCACUCAAAGAUGAUCCCGCGUUGUAUUAGCUAGUUGGUGAGGUAAAGGCUCACCAAGGCGAUGAUACAUAGCCGACCUGAGAGGGUGAUCGGCCACAUUGGGACUGAGACACGGCCCAAACUCCUACGGGAGGCAGCAGUAGGGAAUCUUCGGCAAUGGACGAAAGUCUGACCGAGCAACGCCGCGUGAGUGAAGAAGGUUUUCGGAUCGUAAAACUCUGUUGGUAGAGAAGAACGUUGGUGAGAGUGGAAAGCUCAUCAAGUGACGGUAACUACCCAGAAAGGGACGGCUAACUACGUG